UACGUAGGUGGCAAGCGUUGUCCGGAUUUACUGGGCGUAAAGCGCACGUAGGCGGCUACUCAAGUCAGAGGUGAAAGCCCGGGGCUCAACCCCGGAACUGCCUUUGAAACUAGGUAGCUAGAAUCUUGGAGAGGUCAGUGGAAUUCCGAGUGUAGAGGUGAAAUUCGUAGAUAUUCGGAAGAACACCAGUGGCGAAGGCGACUGACUGGACAAGUAUUGACGCUGAGGUGCGAAAGCGUGGGGAGCAAACAGG
rnacentral:rRNA from 1 species